rnacentral:misc_RNA from 1 species
CAGAUUUAGGCAGCAGAGUUUUGACGUUGCAUGAUCCCCUUAUGCCAUCAUUUUGGUCGCUGUCUCAACGGCUUACAUUUUAUUUAAAUGGCCAGAGUGAAACAAAGGAGAAUGCAAAGGUUGCAACAUCUGUCAAAUUGUUGUAAUUUUUUCUCAUGCUCCAGGUCUGUUAGGAUGUGGGUUGUUGCAAAUGCGAAAUGAUGCUUCUCCAAAAAAGAACAGAGCAUGGAUGAGUUACAUUACUUGGGAUUGGAUAGAAGACUGAGAUAAAGGAAGAAAGUUUUGAUAGUGGAGAGGGAUAGGAACAAAGGGGGUUUUGGUACUCAAAGAGACGUUGAUGAGGAGGGCCAUUGCAAGAGCAAAGCUGCUCUGUUUUGUUUAUAUUGAGAGAGAGAGAGAGAG